CUCCGUGUCCCGGGGCCAUCCCCGGCCCCUUCCCGAGAGCUCCCGGCGGCUCCAGCGGGCGCUGCUGCUCCGCAGAGCCGGGACCGACACCGGGGAGGGGCCCCGGGCUCCGGCGGCCGAGUGCUGAGAGCGGAGCCCGAGGGCUGAGCCUGGGCUGGGGCCGCGCUCGGAGCUGGGCAAUGGAGUCCUGAGCGUUGGAGUCUGGAAACCAAGCGGGGCCGGUUCGGGCCUUGAUGCUGCUCCUGUCUGCACGUGAUCCUCCAGAGCAAGACUAGAGGAAAUCCAGGGAAGACUGCUGGGAUGAAUACCUUCCAUCCUCACCCUAUGUACCAGAAAUGGGAUCGUCUGACAGUGAUUUCCUCUUGUUAAAGGCAGUUUCCAUCACUGUGCCAUAGAUGUGCAAGGCUGGGUGAGCACCAGACCGGUGUGCUGGGAUAGCCCGGAGGACGCGCUCUCUCUUGUGCUCAAGCACAGGAGGAGCCGUGG